GUGAGGAAUAUUGGUCAAUGGGCGGGAGCCUGAACCAGCCAAGUCGCGUGAAGGAAGAAGGAUCUAUGGUUCGUAAACUUCUUUUGCAGGGGAAUAAAGUGCAGGACGUGUCCUGUUUUGUAUGUACCCUGAGAAUAAGGAUCGGCUAACUCCGUGCCAGCAGCCGCGGUAAUACGGAGGAUCCGAGCGUUAUCCGGAUUUAUUGGGUUUAAAGGGUGCGUAGGUGGUUUGAUAAGUCAGCGGUGUAAGUUUGCAGCUUAACUGUAAAAAUGCCGUUGAAACUGUCGGACUUGAGUGUAAAUGAGGUAGGCGGAAUGCGUGGUGUAGCGGUGAAAUGCAUAGAUAUCACGCAGAACUCCGAUUGCGAAGGCAGCUUACUAAGCUACAACUGACACUGAAGCACGAAAGCGUGGGGAUCAAACAGGAUUAGAAACCCCAGUAGCCC
rnacentral:rRNA from 1 species